GACGAACGCUGGCGGCGUGCUUAACACAUGCAAGUCGAACGGAAAGGCCCUGCUUUUGUGGGGUGCUCGAGUGGCGAACGGGUGAGUAACACGUGAGUAACCUGCCCUUGACUUUGGGAUAACUUCAGGAAACUGGGGCUAAUACCGGAUAGGAGCUCCUGCUGCAUGGUGGGGGUUGGAAAGUUUCGGCGGUUGGGGAUGGACUCGCGGCUUAUCAGCUUGUUGGUGGGGUAGUGGCUUACCAAGGCUUUGACGGGUAGCCGGCCUGAGAGGGUGACCGGCCACAUUGGGACUGAGAUACGGCCCAGACUCCUACGGGAGGCAGCAGUGGGGAAUAUUGCACAAUGGGCGGAAGCCUGAUGCAGCAACGCCGCGUGCGGGAUGACGGCCUUCGGGUUGUAAACCGCUUUCGCCUGUAACGAAGCGUGAGUGACGGUAAUGGGUAAAGAAGCACCGGCUAGCUACGUG
rnacentral:rRNA from 1 species